rnacentral:rRNA from 1 species
CUACGGGUCGCUGCAGUGAGGAAUAUUGCACAAUGGGGGGAACCCUGAUGCAGCAACGCCGCGUGGAGGAUGACGCAUUUCGGUGUGUAAACUCCUUUUAUAUGUCAAGAAAAUGACGGUAGCAUAUGAAUAAGCACCGGCUAACUCCGUGCCAGCAGCCGCGGUAAUAAGGAGGGUGCAAGCGUUACUCGGAAUCACUGGGCGUAAAGGACGCGUAGGCGGGUUGGAAAGUCAGGUGUGAAAUCCUACAGCUUAACUGUAGAACUGCACUUGAAACUUCUAAUCUAGAGUAUGGGAGGGGGAGAUGGAAUUAGUGGUGUAGGGGUAAAAUCCGUAGAUAUCACUAGGAAUACCUAAAGCGAAGGCGAUCUCCUGGAACAUUACUGACGCUAAGGCGUGAAAGCGUGGGGAGCAAACAGGACUAGAUACCCUCGUAGUC